rnacentral:lncRNA from 1 species
GACACUUGAGAGAGGAGGAGAAGCUCUCCACCUAUGGCUUUUCUUCCUCUUUUCUCUCUCAAAUGAAAAUCCCCCAAACACUCAGGUUUUCUUCCAUUAAAUCUUAUUAGAAAACAACCUUGUACUUGAUUUCCACCAUCAUCUUCUUCAUUUGAGUAUGGGGCUUCAAGUGGGCCAGUGAGAGAAAGUUAUGGCUAGAGAGAGAAAUCUCAAAGAAAGGUAAUAAAAUGACCUCUCUCCAUCUCCACCUUUAAUAUUUGAGAGUUUUAGCAUGAAAUAGUCAUUGGAGUACAUUGUAAUUUUUUGUAUAUAUGUUUUUGUGUUGAGAGAGGGAGAUUAGUAGAAGAGAUGGCUAUAAGAUAUUUUGGAGUGGGUUCAAGUGUUUGUUAUUAAUAAAGUAAGUACCAUGGAUUCUGUUAACUUCCCCAACUAAAUGAUAUGAAGACAAAGCAUGUGAGAAAAUGAUAUAUAUCAUAUAAAGUAUAUGAGAAAUUGUUAAAAUGGUAGAUAAACUAUAUGAUGACCAUGAAUAUCUUAGAUAAAAUUAAUAAUACCUAUAUGAGAAAAUAAUAUCUUAGUGAGUUCUGAUAAUUGGAAGAAACAUGGUGGAAAUAAUGAAUUUGGCUUAAUAACACUAAAAUGGAUUAGAAAAGUGACAAAGCAUUAUUGUUAUACCAUAAUGUGGUUGUAAUACCCUCAUUCUGAUUCGGUUUGCCGAAUUCAGGUCUUGGGUAUUACCACACGAAUACAUAAAAAAGAAAAAAAAACUAAAUUUACUAAUACAAUUUACAAUUAAGUACAACUUGAAUACACACUGAUUCAAACUAAAUUACAUGUGUAUGUACAAUAGGUAAAUACAACUUCAAUACUUGAAGAUUAAUUUACAAUAAUAUCUAAAUUGGAAUCCUAAUCUAAAACAAUUAUCUAAAAAUGUGGAUUUCUAAGUGACAUUUUAGACUUUGAAUGCGCCUUCCGACUUAUUCUGUAUGCAUAAUAACCCGAUACGCCCCUUCAAUUAGCGUAGUCCUGGCCUCGUCCCUCCUAGCGCUAUCUUGUAGUGUUUCACCUGUGACACAUCAUACACAAGGUAAGUUCACAAGAACUUAGUGAGAGAAACAUUUUUUACCCAUAUAAUAAUUACACAUCACAAUUGAUGAAUCGUAAGGAUAAUCUUAUCAUUCUUAACUUUUAAUUUUGCCCCUGACGAGUGCUUCCUUAAUUUCUAUUCUGACAUCCUCGUCAAAUACCAUAGCUUACUCUGAAUUCUUUCCGUCUCAUCGAUGUGUUCGAUACAUUCCUUACUUUCUUAUAUCCGAUCAAUCCAUGCAACCUAAUCAAGAAUUCUUUUGACGUACUCAAGACUGGACCAAUGUACCAAUAAAAUUCAUGAAAGAGUUCAUAUAUAAACAAUAGAUAUUUCCUUCGAACGUACAGACGUAAAUAUUCAUAUUCUGAACACACUUUCUAUACCAGCUUGUUCUUUCUCUAUAUCUCUUUAAUUUAUUAUAUUCGGUCGGUUCACAACCUUAUUAUACUUUACCACAUAAUCUAUAAUAACCUUAUUUCUAAUUGACUUUACUAAUUUCGCUUAAGACCCAUACCGAACACGCCUAAGCAACUUGAUACAGGAUCCACCACAAAGAACAUUUCUUUAAGGUACGCCACUGAGAGCCUUAUUAUAAUGCACCACGAGGGCAUUUCUUUCAAAAUUCCCCAUGGGAGUUGUUCCUUUAGAGUAUGCCACAAAGUCUAUCAUGUCAAGAUUCGCCAAAAAGACUAUUCUUUCAUGAUGUGUUUACGAUAUAGAUUUGUCUAAACUCAUGUCAUGUGAGGUUUGCCCAUCAUCGUCCCAUGAUACAUAGAGAACCCCAUUGGGUAAUCACUGUCUUUUAAUUCCUUUCGGAAGAUGCCAUGUUGAUAAAUCUUGAAAAUAGUUAUAUUUCACACCUCUAAACUGAAGUAUUUGCUUGUAAUUAAGAAAAUAUGUUUGAAUUUUAGGCUUAUUACUAGAUCAUUACAUACUAAAGCUUGGAUUGCAUUCUAACUGUAAAUUUAUGUUACUUUUAAUUGCUAGAAAGAGGUUUGGUAGCCUUUGGUAGUAGGUGCAGGUAGGAUGAAAGAGGCAAGAAGAAUGAAAAGAUGAAAAGAGAACAAAGGAGGUGAAACAUUGCCAUGGCAAAUGGUGGGAUAGAUUGCCAAUAGAAAUGUCAUGGAAAUUCCAGUAAGAUGACGCAACACUCAAUCCACGUCACUCUCAGCCAACUGUACGUGUACCAGAUAAAUCACCCUAAAAAAGAGUAGUAAAAUAUGUGUGCUGAGAGGGACAUAUCUACCGUAUAAAAAGAGGAGAGAGAAGAGAAGGACACACAGAUUGUGAGGAGAAAAGAAAAGAAAGAGAGCAAUUUCUCUCUCUGCAACAGAAUCUUAUGGAGAAAUUGCGUGGAAAAUUCAGAAAAGAAGAAAAGGGUAACAACUAAAAAGAGGAGAUCAUAUAUGCGGAUAAGGGGAAGAGAAAUUUGCCCUAGGUUUUUCAUAAAAUCUUAAGAAAAAGCUGGAGUGUAGCGAAAACUUCCUACAUUUCUGCCUUUGUUCUAUUUUUCUUCAUUUUAAUUUCUGUGAUUCAUAAAACUUGAAGAAUGGUGAUGAAUGGUUUAAUUUUGGAUUUCAUUGCCCAACCCAUAAGCUAAUUAUCUUUGGGUUGGAAUUAUUUGGGUGAAUAUUGAAUUAUCUGUAAUGCUC